AUACUUACCUGGCAAGGGAGAAGUGGCUUUCUCAGGGUGAGGCUUACCCAUUGCACUCUGCAUGUACUGACCUCUGACCCCAAUGUGAAAAAACUUAACUGCAUAAUUGGUAGUGGGGAACUGUGUUCACACUCUCCAC
ensembl:snRNA U1 U1 spliceosomal RNA